CAGCACCCAUGGGUCCAACUUACUUGGGAGCUUUGCUACCGCUACUGCUGCCGCAGCCCACCUGCCGCCGCCGGCCAUCGCCCUCGCGGCCUCGCACAUCUCGCCCGGCCCAACCCGCGCUGCCGUAACACCAUCCGCCUCAUCUCCACUGCUACCCUCAGGGCCUCAGAUGCGCCUCCCCGCGUCCGCCCAGAGCGGCAGAGCCCCCACGGCCGGGCGGGCGCCGCCGGACCUUAUCCGCGCCAGGCCGGGGCGGGCGCCGCCGGAUCUCCUCCCCUCCCUACCCGGCUGCCAUCAAACUUCGCCUGCUCCACCCAGUGCCCCGUAUCUCUAUCCUCCUCAGAUCCACCUCGUCUGCCACGGCUUGCAACGAGGUGCCCCCGGUCUGCUCGAGGAGGGAGGCCGGCCGGCGUCCGCGGCAUGCCACGAGGAGCAGUCGUCGCGGCACGGGGACGCACCCCACCCUGUCCAGCAGCGAUGCGCGGCCGCUCUCGCUUACCGGCCUCCGGUCAGACGGCCACGACCCGCUGGCCGCAUCUCGGCCACCACCAUGGGCCGCAUCUCCCCUCCGCCACACAUAGAAGCUAAGUGAGUGCACUAGAUUAGUUCCUAGUAGCCUCCUGAAGGGAAAUUUUCUGGCUCUAGAUUACACAAUUGACAUGGUCAGAUCACUGGGAUCGCGAGAAGGUAUGCUGCUAUGUGAAAAGGAUGGAUUAAAAGGAUGCUUACCUAGACUUGACUAAUGCAGUUGCUACUGGUGUUCUUGUGCCCAACUCUUGUGAGAAGAUGCAGGGACGAAGGUCAAGUACUUGAAGAACUAGAUUGGCCUAGUGAUGGUACUGCUUGGAAGGUAACGGCUGCAAAUUGCAUGCUUUUGCUGUUAGUUUCUUGUACAGUACGUGAUUUUGAUUGAAGUUCCAUGGUACAACAUUGUGAGAUGUGUUGGAUUAAAACCUAAAUUAGAUUGUGAUUUCAUGAUGAAUGGUUACUUAUGUUGAUUGUAUGUAUGUGAUGAGAUGUUGGAUCAGAAAUUAUUUCAUGUGAUCAAAUGUUUAAUAUGUUGUGUA